UUCGGUAUGUAACUAUAUAAAUUAUAUUAUUCAAUCAAAUAUGAUUGCAGGAAUGAAAAAUAAUGGUUGUUCCAUCCCAUAUUUAACAAGAAAUAAUUUUUUUUCUUUUUUUCUCUAUUAAAAAAUGAAUGGUGGGGAAUGAGAAGAAAAAAUUAUUCUUUGUGAAUGGUGAUUUUUUUUAGGAAUGUUAGGGAAUACAUUAUUCCUCCUCGUUCCUUGGUCACCAUACAUUAUUUCUCCUCGUUCCUCAUUUCUAUACAAAAGCUAAGUAUAUAUUUUCUUGUUGCAUAGUCUGUAUAUCGUGUGUUUGGAAUAAUGAUAGUUCACUCGUUAGUCUCAUUUCUUUUUGUUUACC
rnacentral:lncRNA from 1 species